rnacentral:rRNA from 1 species
GACGAACGCUGGCGGCGUGCUUAACACAUGCAAGUCGAGCGGUAAGGCCCUUUCGGGGGUACACGAGCGGCGAACGGGUGAGUAACACGUGGGUGACCUGCCCUCAGCUCUGGGAUAAGCCUGGGAAACUGGGUCUAAUACUGGAUAUGACUCCACGGUGCAUGUCGUGGGGUGGAAAGCCUUGUGCGGCUGAGGAUGGGCCCGCGGCCUAUCAGCUUGUUGGUGGGGUGAUGGCCUACCAAGGCGACGACGGGUAGCCGGCCUGAGAGGGCGACCGGCCACACUGGGACUGAGACACGGCCCAGACUCCUACGGGAGGCAGCAGUGGGGAAUCUUGCGCAAUGGGCGAAAGCCUGACGCAGCGACGCCG